UAUGAGAUUCUGGAGCAAAAGACUUUCUCUUUCAUGCUGGGCAUGAAUGAUGAGAAUUCAAGAGCUGCUAGAAUCCAUACUGGAACAUACGGAGGAGCAGAAUACAUAUUGGGGAAAAAACGACGCAAGCUUUGCGGGAAGGGCAGCAGUCCCUCCAAGCACAGGAAAGUACCGCUGGGAAACAAAACUGAACAGUGCCAUCUACUGGGAGAAAAAUGCACACAGAGAAGAAAGCUGGUGAAGCAGGUGAGAAUGAGAAAAAAACAGACAAAAGAUACCACUAAAGCUGAGCUGCUACAGGUGGAAUAGUCUGGAGAGAAUAAAAGAAAUACACAAAAGCCUGGGUGGCCUGGUGGAAGCAGAAAGGACAAUGGAUAAACUAAAAUGGUCCUUAGGAGGCACCUUUCCAACUUAUUUCAUUUUACAGGGGAGAAAAUAGAAGUAGAAGCAGUUAUUCACCUACUAAUCUGAUGCUAUCAAGACCUCAAUUCCUGGUGCACUAUUUUAUAUUUGACUUCCAACUAAGCAAGCACACAAACAAAUGCAGAGACCAUUGUAUCUACAUUUUUGGUUACUUGAGAAUCUAUCUAUCUAUCUAGGAAUGUAUGUAAUUACUCACAUUCCUGUUUGUGGCAGAAGGCAUUGGCAGAAGCUAAAUGAGAAGAAGGUAGUGACAGACACCAAACUCAUUCAUGGAUGUAUGGAGAGGAACUGGGUAUACAGAGAGCAUGGGUCCCAAGAGGGGAGGAAGUAGAGGAGGAGAUGAAGAGCUGGGACUCCUUCUCUCUUCUCACCUUGUACUAAGUAGUGUUCACUGGUGGAAGCAACUUCCACUGCUUGUUUUUGGUUCUUUGGUGAAUACUAGUGACUUGGACUAACUCGAGUGACUGCAUUAUCCCAAGAUGGAGAAAGCCAGUGAAUCCCAUUGAUUCUAUAUUCAGAAUAUACCCAGAGUCUGGCUACUUCUUUCCACCCACACUGUUACAGCCCUAGCCCAUGUUACCAUCACCCCUUGCCUGGACCACAGCAACAGCCUCCUAACAGGUCCUCUGCUUCUAAUCCUGGUUGUUCUCAACAAUGGCAGCCAGAAUCAUCCUACUACAGCUACUGGGCUGAAGACCUUCCAAGGCACCUCCCACCCAGUCAUCAGUGAGAUAAAGUUAAAGCCCUUAUGAUGUUCUGCAAAGCCUCACACUUCAGGUACCAUCUCAGCCUCUAUCCUCUCCUCAUUGCUUACUUUAGUUCAAGUACACUCACCUUUCUGCCUCAUUAUCUGUCUCCCUCAACUACAUUGCUGGAUUGCUGACAGAAGGACUAUUUAUCUCUUUUUUGACUAGUGUGUCUUAUGUGUGCAGGAGAGUGUCUGGCACAUAUCAGGCUCUCAAUACAUUUUUGUUGAAUGAAUACAUGAAAUAUCAUAAUGGUACUUGCAUCAAGACUUGCAAACGCUUCUCAUCUAUACCUUUCUCCUCAAAGUUAAACUACCCAAGAAGCUAUUUAAUCAAGUCCUUUUAUUUUGUAGAGAAGAAGACAGAGGCUCAGGAAGACAAAAUGACUAGGAUUUGGUGAUAUGUCUUCUGGCUUAAAACCAUAUGUUUUCCAUCCAUUUUCCUCAUCUUUCCAAUGAUAUUAUCAACUCGUGAGAACAGAGAUAACCAUUGUGCUUUUGGUCCUCCACAGUAUAUGCCACAUUCAGUAACUUGAUCACUAACAACUUUUGGUUUGGUGGAUACUCAGAAAAGUUUAAACCGCUUUAUGUAAUAAUAUUCCCAUAGUCCAAGGGAAACACACCAGCAAAAGCCUUUUUUUUUUUUUUUGUCUUUUUAGGGCUGCAACCACAGCAUAUGGAGGUUCCCAGGCUAGGGGUCAAAUCAGAGCUGCAGCUGCCAGCCUACACCACAGCCACAGCAAUGCCAGAUUCCAGCCACAUCUGCGACCUACACCACAGCUCACAGCAGUGCCAGAUCCUUAACCCACUGAGCGAGACCAGGGAUCGAAGCUUCAUCUUCAUGGAUACCAGUCAGAUUCAUUUCUGCUGAGACACGAUGGGAACUCCAACCAGCAGAGUUCUUAAUAUUGAUCCUCAACACACUUGUUUUCCCCUCAGAGGAAGUGCUUCCUUCUUCAAACCGAAAUGAUUCAAAUUCCAACCCAAACUCACAGGGUUGCUCUGGCCUUAGAGUUCAUUGUUCUCCCCAUGUCAGACUAUCUGGGGUUUACUGCAAUCUUCAACAGGACAGUCCCCAAGGUCUGAGUUACUCAGUCAUGGGCAAGGUGGAGGAGGUGGCAAGGCUGGAGAUUGAUGGUCUAGGGUGGGCCUUAGGAUUCCAUGUCUGGUUACUUUCGAGAUCUUUCCACCAAUCAGCGAAGUCAAAUAAGAAUUCCUAGUAGAGCAACUUAUACAACUCAACAGCAAAAAAGCCAACAACCCAAUUGAAAAAUGGGCAAAAGACCUGAAUAGACAUUUUUUCCAAGGAAGAUGUGCAGAUGGCCAACAAGCACAUGGAAAAAUGCUCAAAAUCCCUGAUUAUUAGAGAAAUGUAAAUCAAAACUACCAUGAGAUACUGCCUCACACCAGUCAGAAUGGCCAUCAUUAAUAGGUCCACGAAUACAAAUGCUGGAGGCGGUGUGGAGAAAAGGGAACCCUCUUGCACUGUUGGUGGGAAUAUAAGCUGGUACACCCACUAUGGAGAUCAGUAUGGAGAUACCUUAGAAAUCUAUACAUAGAACUACCAUAUGACCCAGCAAUCCCACUCGUGGGCAUAUAUACAGACAAAACUUUCCUUAAAAAAGACACAUGCACCCACAUGUUCAUUUCAGCUCUAUUUAUGAUAGCCAAGACAUGGAAACAACCCAAACGUUCAUCGAUAGGUUACUGGAUUAGGAAGAUGUGGUAUAUAUACACAAUGGAAUACUACUCAGCCAUAAAAAAGGACAAAAUAAUGCCAUUUGAAGCAGCAUGGAUGGAACUAGAGAUGCUCAUCCUGAGUGAAGUAAGUCAGACAGAGAAAGACAAAUAUAAGAUAUCAUUUAUAUCUGGAAUCUAAUAUAAGGCACAAAUGGACCUUUCCACAGAAAAGAAAAUCAUGGACUUAGAGAAUAAACUUGUGGUUGCCAAAGGGGAAUAGACUUGUGGUUGCCAAAGGGGAGGGAGUGGGGUAAUUGGGGAGCUUAGGGUUAAUAGAUACAAACUAUUGCCUUUGGAAUGGAUUAGCAAUGAGAUCCUGCUGUGUAGCACUGAGAACUAUGUCUAGUCACUUAUGAUGGAGCAUGAUAACGUGAGAAAAUAGAAUGUGUACAUGUAUGUGUAACUGGGUCACCAUGCUGUACAGUACAAAAAAAAUCGUAUUGGGUAAGUAACUAUUAAAAAAUAAUAAUUAAAAAAAAUCUGGGGGUAUUGGGCUGAAAGAGUCAGUAUUUCUCAUCUAAUCACACUAAAAUAUAACCUUAUUAUCUAAAGAAAAAAAAAAUUCCUUGUAGGAUCUCCCAUUGUGGCUCAGUAGGUUAAGGACUCAAUGUUGUCUCUUUGAGGAUGCCAAUUUAAUCCCUGACCUUGCUUAGUGGAUUAAGGAUCCAGUGUUGCUGUAGGCUGCUGUGUAGGUCACAGAUGAGCCUCAGAUUUGGUGUUGCAUAGGCCUCAGCUGCAGCUCUGAUUUCUCCCCUAGGCUGGGAACUUCUACAUGCCACAGAUGCAGCCCUAAAAAUGAAAAAAAAAAAAAGAAUUCCUUCUAGUCAUUCAGGUAUAAGGCCAAAUAAUUCCCAAACCAAUACCUCUGGGAUACUUAUGCUAGCUCUACAUUAUCCCCUAAAUAUAAUGUAAUUGGUCCAAAUGCUGCCUACAGUAGAAAGAAGCCUCCAUGUGAAGAUAAGUAGCUCCAUUCAUCUAGCCUCUGGCUUCUGAGCUGUGAUCUGUAGUCUAGAAUAGAGUCAGACUGCUUGGGUUAAGCCCUGUCCUUCAGUCUUACAUCUGUGUGACCUUGAGAAAGAUAUUUAAUUCCUCUAUGCUUUAAUAUCUUCAUUCUUAAAAGAUAAUAACGAUAACAUCACCC
rnacentral:lncRNA from 9 species